rnacentral:lncRNA from 10 species
AACAGUGGCAACUUGUUCGGGUAUCCUUCCCCAGUGUGGAAGCUUUAGUUCUUUUGCUCUUUGCAAUGAAUCUUGCUGCUGCUCACUCUUUGGGUCCACGCUGCGUUUACACUGUGUUUAUGAGCUGUAACACUCACCACAAAGGUCUGCAGCUUCACUCCUGAAGCCAGCAAAGACCACGAACCCACCAGGAAGAAGGAACAACUCCAGACACGCAGCCUUAAGAGCUGUAACACUCACUGCCAAGGUCUUCAGCUUCACUCCUGAGCCAGCCAGACCAUGAACCCACCAGAAGGAAAAAACUCGGAACACAUCCCAACAUCAGAAGGAACAAACUCUGGACAUGCCGCCUUUAAGAACUGUAACAACGCAAGGGUCCGCGGCUUUAUUCUUGAAGUCAGUAAGACCAAGAACCCAAUUCCGGACACGUUUGGACCGCCCACAAGGGCAAGACUUCAUGAGGUUCUGGUGACCAAGCAUGCUCAUCGCUGUCCUGGGACUGCUCCAAGUGCAAUUCAAAGAUGUUUGUUACAAAUGAAGAUCCUCUCCUCAGAGAUCCUCAUUCCCUGCAUUUGAGAUGGGCCCUGGGAACCUUCAUUAUUAACUCCUGAAUUUCACUUGGACCAACACGGUGAUGGUGACAAGCCCAGAUGGAAAGGCAGCUCAACAUCUGAGAAGCCAGUCUUACUCCCUGCAGGCAACAGCUGCUUCCAGAAAACAGCCCUGUAAUUGUCACCAUCAAAUCCAUAUAUUUUCAAGGGAAGUUGGUCCCACACCAGAAGUCAUAGCUGAAUCACCAGCAGUAAUGCAGGGACAUACUGGUUGCUUCUUGGCUUUUCCAACCCUCUGCCAUGCUUGAACAUCUUUGUGAAAGUCCAGGAACAACAAAUAAGCUUAAGGAUAAAAGCCCCCCAGCCAUACCACCACAACCCCCUGUUAAACUCAUGCAUGACUUGUAGAAUCCUUUCCCCACUGUCACUAAAAGGCUUUUUACAUUUUCCCUCCUUAAAACACCAGUUUACUGAAUGGAACGCUAUUUCCUAAAUAUUUGCUACACACACAGCUGUAUAUAGAGUUCCCAGGAGAUGACUUUUUUCUUGUCAUCUUUUAAAACUACAGUUAUAUGUUGAUUUAAUUAUCUUCUCUCUAGAUUACUUCACCAAAGUACAGUUCCUACAGGAAGAUAAUGAUCUGACCUAACCUACUAUUGGCUGAAGGAAGGAGAAAAGCAGCUGAAGAUGUCUGUUGAGUGAUUACCCUCAUAAUCCGUGACUAAGAACAUCCAAAUCAGCAUGGCUUCUUCCUGUCUGAAAUUAUUACUACUUAGGGUUUUUCACGUGUUAUUUCAUUUAUUGAUUAUUCUGUUUUAAACUUGCAAGACGUAUUGUCUCUUCAGAAAUAAAACUUUAUCACUUGCUUCAUCAAUUCAAUUAAUUUCACAAUGCAUUGAUUAAACUCCUACGUAAGCAUUUCAGCAUUUUAAAACAUUUUUAAAAAGGUAAAAUCAGGACUGUCAUGUGAAUGAUAUGCCAAAGGUUUUA